rnacentral:misc_RNA from 1 species
UAAUAAGUGUUUUAUGGCACUUUUUAAAUCCAUAUCCACCUUGUGUGCAAUGUCAGUCGAUCUUCUUUUAUGGAGGAUCGACCAAACAUCAACCUUUAUCUUUUAACUCUUUGUCUGAAAAAUAUUAUGAAUAAACAAUUCAAAAUA